rnacentral:rRNA from 1 species
AGCGGCGCACGGGUGAGUAACGCGUACGCAACUUACCCUUGAGCGGGGAAUAGCCCUGGGAAACUGGGAUUAAUGCCCCAUAGUUUUAUUUGAAGGCAUCUUCAAAUAUAUAAAGCUGAGGCGCUCAAGGAUAGGCGUGCGUCUGAUUAGCUAGUUGGUAAGGUAACGGCUUACCAAGGCUACGAUCAGUAGGGGGCGUGAGAGCGUGAUCCCCCACACGAGUACUGAGACACGGACCCG